rnacentral:rRNA from 1 species
UGGGGAAUCUUGCGCAAUGGGCGAAAGCCUGACGCAGCAACGCCGCGUGGAGGAUGAAGGCCCUUGGGUUGUAAACUCCUGUCGGUUGGGAAGAAAUCUUACGGGGUUAAUACCUCCGUAAGUUGACUGUACCAGCAAAGGAAGCCCCGGCUAACUCUGUGCCAGCAGCCGCGGUAAUACAGAGGGGGCCAGCGUUGUUCGGAAUUAUUGGGCGUAAAGCGCGUGUAGGCGGCUUUGCAAGUCGGGUGUGAAAGCCCUCAGCUCAACUGAGGAAGUGCGCCCGAAACUGCAGAGCUUGAGUACCGGAGAGGAUGGCGGAAUUCCCCAAGUAGAGGUGAAAUUCGUAGAUAUGGGGAGGAACACCGGUGGCGAAGGCGGCCAUCUGGACGGAUACUGACGCUGAGACGCGAAAGCGUGGGGAGCAAAC